GCAGUGGAUCUGCUCUCGGGAUCAAAGCUCCUGGCUCUGCACGUGAGCGGACCGGAAGUAAACGAGCUCGGACCUGUUUAAGGCGCCAACUUUGAUUCUUUCUCUAUUAAUCGACAGGGAUGCCAGAAUCAGGCCAGUGCCACACCUCAUGGUCCUCCACAACCACCAACAAAUGGCUCAGGUAGGUGAUGGGAUGAACGACGGCCAGGUAGCGCUCCACACAGGUCAGGAUGUGGAAGAACAUCUGACCCAUCCAGGUGAAGGAUAAAAGAAACUUCCCCACCAAUAACACAAUGACAUUAUCAUUGUAGAUAGCACAGCAGCAGAGGCUGCUCCCAAAGAUACCUAUCCGCUCCAUAGCGACCGUGUGGUAGGUGAAGCAGUCGGAGUGACUCAUUGUUGCUGCUUUGGUGGAGGAGCGCUGUUGGUGCCAUCGCUGGAGACCCAGGUAGAGGAUGAAGAUGUUGGUGAUGUUGAACACGGCAAAAACUAAAGAGCUUGGUCUGAAGACGAAGCAAUAAAUGCCAGAAGUAAAAUGUUUUAACUUCUUGCCAUCAUAAGGACUUUGUUCAACGUCUCAUCGCCGUGUGCAGUACCCCUUCUAUUGUUUGGAAAGCUGUUCUCCAAUAUACAAACAAGGGCAACUACAAAAAACAAAAAAAAGAAAUCUGAGAUGCACGUUUCAUCAAACAGAAGGUUCGGUGGAAAUUAUUGCUGUUUUUGCCCAUGUAAAGUUAUUUAAAUAAAACCAU